UGCAGGUCCAAGCAAAACCUGUAAGAUGUUGCUACUCCAUGUCAUUACUCUGGCUUUUGUUUUGUCUUAUGGAUGUGCACAAAUACAUCUGAGACAAGCUCAGUUAUCCAUUACCAGGACAGAAACUAAAACCGCACGUAUAGUCUGUGAGGUUUCUGGCAUUCAGAACUUCAGGAGUGCUGUUAUACACUGGUAUCGACACAGACCUGGAGAAGCUCUGGAGCGGAUUCUGUACAUCUCAACUGUAAAAGUUGAAUUUGACAAAGAUACUGAUAAGAAGUUUGACUGUGAAAAGAAGCCUGACCAGCCCAUCUCUACCCUAGUAGUAAAUGAAAUAGCUCCUGAUGACCAAGCUGUCUAUUAUUGUGCUUUUUGGGAUGGCACAGUGUUAGAAAGCUGUUGACAUCCUGUAUGAAAACCUCACUCUGAAUACUGAGCCCUGGUCUACACUACAGGGUUAGGUCGAAUUUAGCUGUGUUAAGUUGAUUUAAAAAUGACUGUCCACACCACAAACCCCAUUCCGUCAACCUAAAGUGCUCUUAAAAUCGACUUCUGUAACCCUCCCCGAUGAGAGAAGCAGCGCUAAAAAUCGAUCUUGAUGGGUUGAAUUUGGGG